GAUGAACGCUGGCGGCGUGCCUAAUACAUGCAAGUCGAGCGAACAGACGAGGAGCUUGCUCCUCUGACGUUAGCGGCGGACGGGUGAGUAACACGUGGAUAACCUACCUAUAAGACUGGGAUAACUUCGGGAAACCGGAGCUAAUACCGGAUAAUAUAUUGAACCGCAUGGUUCAAUAGUGAAAGACGGUUUUGCUGUCACUUAUAGAUGGAUCCGCGCCGCAUUAGCUAGUUGGUAAGGUAACGGCUUACCAAGGCAACGAUGCGUAGCCGACCUGAGAGGGUGAUCGGCCACACUGGAACUGAGACACGGUCCAGACUCCUACGGGAGGCAGCAGUAGGGAAUCUUCCGCAAUGGGCGAAAGCCUGACGGAGCAAAGCCGCGUGAGUGAUGAAGGUCUUCGGAUCGUAAAACUCUGUUAUUAGGGAAGAAAAAAUGUGUAAGUAACUAUGCACGUCUUGACGGUACCUAAUCAGAAAGCCACGGCUAACUACGUG
rnacentral:rRNA from 1 species